rnacentral:rRNA from 1 species
CCUACGGGAGGCAGCAGUGGGGAAUUUUGGACAAUGGGCGCAAGCCUGAUCCAGCAAUGCCGCGUGAGUGAAGAAGGCCUUCGGGUUGUAAAGCUCUUUUGUCAGGGAAGAAACGGCAUGCUCUAAUACAGUGUGCUAAUGACGGUACCUGAAGAAUAAGCACCGGCUAACUACGUGCCAGCAGCGCGGUAAU